AGUGAUUUUCUAGGUUUGUUUUUUGAUUCACUGUGGAAUAAUGUACAUUUGAUUUGGAUCGAUGGAUAAGGUCUUACUACUGAUCUCACAUGGUAUCGUUAUCAAUUCGACGUUUUUAUGAUCUAAUUUUCCUGAAGAGAAUACACUACUGGAUGGAAGGAACAUGAAUUAAUUGUUGGUAUAACAAUAUUUUUAUCAAGGUUUAUCAUGUCGAACUGAAAAGAACCAUCCAACUCAGAAAAUGGUCCACAAUACUUUCCACAAGGGUUGCAGCUUUUGGUCAUACAAGCAAGAAGACUGAUGGCUAAGUUGGAAACUUACACGAAACUUACAAAUGUUGUGGUUGUUGCGGGUGCUUUCUCAUUGGUGGUACCUUUUAUGAGCUCCACUUUAAGGAAAAUUACGUGUUCAAUGAGCGGCGGCAGACUGCAUGGAUUAUCCCUUCCUUCUGGCAUGCCUUAUUGUGUUGCAUAUGUGCACAUUGGCCACCAUCGCAGAAUUCAACAGGGUUUGUUACGUCAAAGAUAGCUUGCUGUGCUCAAGGGCCAUCUAAUGGAAUAAGGCUUUUGCACAAAUGCAUCAAACCAUUGGCUUGACAGAGAUGUUCUUCAAAUGUGUUCCCAGAUCCGCACCAGCUUAUCCAAACAUCUCGCCACAACUACCUACAAAACUUUCUCCAGGAUAUGUGAGGCUGAAGAAGGAAAACCUUGGAUGACCUACUUCUCGAAAACGGAACGAAUUAGAUUCCAUGGGGACCAUUUGAUUUUACCAGUUUGGACGUGUUAAUGCUUGGUGACAAUGGCCUUUAAGUGAACAAGCUAAUACAACAUAGGAGGAAAGAAACAACAAGCAGGAGGAGGAUAAAGAACCUUUUCUUCCAUUCUCGAGUAACUCGAUAGGUGCUGCUGAUAAUGGUGGUACAUAAAUAUCGUCUAGAUCAUUGUUGGUUUUCAUCCUCCAUUGGUUGCUUAUGAUCUUCAACGCAAUUUGAUAAAAUCGUUGUGAGCUAUGCUACAGUUUCAGUGAAAAGUUAUAAAACUUUCUCAUUUAAUUUUAUAUCUUCCAUCAUAAAUAUGUAAUUAGGCGAAAACAUAAAGAACUAGCAAUUCCAAGGACUUUGCAACGAAUGACUACCAACAAGAUUUUCGUUUUCAUCCCAUUCCCCGUUGAAUCCACCUUCUUUUGUUUGGAAAGAGAAAAGAGUCCUGGUGAUGGAAACAUAAGGUGUUGGAUUACUGUGAUUGAUAAAUAUACCUGGCAUUGAUUAUUUUUUUAGAAAUAUUUUUGGGAUUGUUUUCAGUUAA